AACCUCAGUUCGGAUUGAAGGCUGAAAUUCGCCUUCAUGAAGCUGGAAUUGCUAGUAAUGGCAGGUCAGCAUACUGCCGUGAAUACGUUCCCGGGCCUUGUACACACCGCCCGUCACACCAUGAGAGUUGGGAAUACCCGAAGCCUGUGAGCUAACUUUUAGAGGCAGCAGUCGAAGGUAGAAUCAAUGAUUGGGGUGAAGUCGUAACAAGGUACC
rnacentral:rRNA from 1 species